rnacentral:rRNA from 1 species
AGCUUGGUACAUGAGCACUUGCGGUCUUUCUGAUCGAUCGGCAAAGGUGUGUAAGCUGUUUUUUUGUACGGUAGCUCUGCUGAGCCACGAUCAAACUCUAAGUGGGGGAUAGCACGGGGAAACUCGUAUUAAUACCGCAUACGACCUACGGGAGAAAGGGGGCAUCUUGAUGCUCUCGCUAUUAGAUGAGCCUAAGUCGGAUUAGCUAGAUGGUGGGGUAAAGGCCUACCAUGGCGACGAUCUGUAGCUGGUCUGAGAGGAUGAUCAGCCACACCGGAACUGAGACACGGUCCGGACUCCUACGGGAGGCAGCAGUGGGGAAUAUUGGACAAUGGGGGCAACCCUGAUCCAGCCAUGCCGCGUGUGUGAAGAAGGCCUUUUGGUUGUAAAGCACUUUAAGCAGUGAAGAAGACUCAAUGGUUAAUACCCAUUGACGAUGACAUUAGCUGCAGAAUAAGCACCGGCUAACUCUGUGCCAGCAGCCGCGGUAAUACAGAGGGUGCAAGCGUUAAUCGGAAUUACUGGGCGUAAAGCGAGCGUAGGUGGCUUGAUAAGUCAGAUGUGAAAUCCCCGGGCUUAACCUGGGAACUGCAUCUGAUACUGUUAGGCUAGAAUAGGUGAGAGGAAGGUAGAAUUCCAGGUGUAGCGGUGAAAUGCGUAGAGAUCUGGAGGAAUACCGAUGGCGAAGGCAGCCUUCUGGCAUCAUAUUGACACUGAGGUUCGAAAGCGUGGGUAGCAAACAGGAUUAGAUACCCUGGUAGUCCACGCCGUAAACGAUGUCUACUAGUCGUUGGGUCCCUUGAGGACUUAGUGACGCAGCUAACGCAAUAAGUAGACCGCCUGGGGAGUACGGCCGCAAGGUUAAAACUCAAAUGAAUUGACGGGGGCCCGCACAAGCGGUGGAGCAUGUGGUUUAAUUCGAUGCAACGCGAAGAACCUUACCUGGUCUUGACAUAUCUAGAAUCUUGUAGAGAUACGAGAGUGCCUUCGGGAAUUAGAAUACAGGUGCUGCAUGGCUGUCGUCAGCUCGUGUCGUGAGAUGUGGGUUAAGUCCCGCACGAGCGCACCCUUGUCCUUAGUUACCAGCGUUUGGCC